GACGAACGCUGGCGGCGUGCCUAAUACAUGCAAGUCGAACGCAGUGGGGACGGGUGAGUAACACGUGGGUAACCUCCCAUCAGAGGGGAUAACACUUGGAAACAGGUGCUAAACCGAUACUGAUGGAUGGACCCGCGGUGCAUUAUCGAGUUGGUGAGGUAACGGCUCACCAAGGCCCAGCUGCAUAGCCGACCGGAGAGUGGGACCGGCCACGCUGGGACUGCGACCCGUCCGUGACUCCUACGGGAGGCAGCAGUAGGGAAUCGUCGGCAAUGGACGAAAGUCUGACCGAGCAACGCCGCGUGAGUGAAGAAGGUUUUCGGAUCGUAAAACUCUGUUGUUAGAGAAGCGGGAUCUAACCAGAAAGCCACGGCUAACUACGUGCCAGCAGCCGCGGUAAUUC
rnacentral:rRNA from 1 species